GAUGAAGAACGCAGCGAAAUGCGAUAAGUAAUGUGAAUUGCAGAAUUCAGUGAAUCAUCGAAUCUUUGAACGCACAUUGCGCCCGCCAGUAUUCUGGCGGGCAUGCCUGUCCGAGCGUCAUUUCAACCCUCAAGCCCCCGGGCUUGGUGUUGGGGAUCGGCGAGCCUCCGCGCCCGCCGUCCCCUAAAUCUAGUGGCGGUCUCGCUGUAGCUUCCUCUGCGUAGUAGCACACCUCGCACUGGGAAACAGCGCGGCCACGCCGUUAAACCCCCAACUUCUGAACGUUUGACCUCGGAUCAGGUAGGAAUACCCGCUGAACUUAAGCAUAUCAAUAAGCGGAGA
rnacentral:misc_RNA from 1 species